rnacentral:rRNA from 1 species
UACGUAGGGUGCGAGCGUUAAUCGGAUUUACUGGGCGUAAAGCGUGCGCAGGCGGCCCGUUAAGACAGGUGUGAAAUCCCUGGGCUCAACCUAGGAAUUGCGCUUGUGACUGGCGGGCUCGAGUUUGGUAGAGGGGGGUGGAAUUCCUGGUGUAGCAGUGAAAUGCGUAGAGAUCAGGAGGAACACCGAUGGCGAAGGCAGCCCCCUGGGCCUGUACUGACGCUCAUGCACGAAAGCGUGGGGAGCAAACAGG